UACGUAGGUGGCAAGCGUUGUCCGGAUUUACUGGGCGUAAAGGGCGCGUAGGCGGUCGUGACAAGUCACUUGUGAAAUCUCCGGGCUUAACUCGGAACGGUCAAGUGAUACUGUCGGACUAGAGUGCAGAAGGGGCAACUGGAAUUCUCGGUGUAGCGGUGAAAUGCGUAGAUAUCAGGAGGAACACCGAUUGCGAAGGCAGCUCGCUGGAACGUUACUGACGCUGAGACGCGAAAGCGUGGGGAGCAAACAGG
rnacentral:rRNA from 1 species